rnacentral:rRNA from 1 species
CGGUCUCCGAAUGCCAUCUAGAUUAGAGUUUGAUCAUGGCUCAGNUUGAACUGCUUGGCGGCAGGCCCUAACACAUGCAAAGUCGAACGGUAGCACAGACCAAGCUUGCUCUUCGGGUGACGAGUGGCGGACGGGUGAGUAAUGUCUUGGUGAAACUGCCCGAUGNGAAGUGAGUGUGACUAACUACUUGUGAAACUAGCGUACAGCUAAUACCUGCAUACACAGUCGCANAGACCCAACAAGACUGUGGUGGGACCUUCUGNGUGCNCAUCUUUGCCAAUCAGNGAUUGUGCCCAAAGAUAGGGAUUAGCUUUGUAGGUUGAAGGUAANCUAGGCAUCACCAUAGAGCGACCGAUCCCUAGACUUGUGGUCUUGAGAGUGAAUUGACACAUGUACACAACCACUUGGGAUAACUUGAAGGACAACUGUGGUACCA